rnacentral:rRNA from 1 species
UACGAAGGGUGCAAACGUUGCUCGGAAUUAUUGGGCGUAAAGAGCUCGUAGGCGGCUUGUCGCGUCGACUGUGAAAUCCCGCGGCUCAACCGCGGGUCUGCAGUCGAUACGGGCAGGCUAGAGUUCGGUAGGGGAGACUGGAAUUCCUGGUGUAGCGGUGAAAUGCGUAGAUAUCUGGAGGAACACCGGUGGCGAAGGCGGCAUCCUGGACCGGUAUUGACACUGAGGCGCGAAAGCCAGGGGAGCAAACGGG